AUCGACGUUUCAGUCCUAUUCAAGGACUUUCAUCAUGAUCCUGAUGAUAGUCCUUGAAUAGGACUGAAACGUCGAU